GCUAAGUACGGGCACGAAGCUGGGGUAAGAGGAAGUGUGGAAGCUGUAAACGGAUGUAUGGGGCGUAAAGGGAGGGCAGUGGGGGAGUUAAGUCGGAUGUGAAAGCCGACGGCUUAACCGUGGAUGGGCAUGGGAAACUUGGUCAGUGGAGUGCAGAAGAGGAAAGUGGAAUGCCAUGUGUAGAGGGGAGAUGCGUAGGUAUAUGGAGGAACACCAGUGGCGAAGGCGACUUUCUGGGCUGUAACUGACGCUGAGGCUCGAAAGCGUGGGGAGCAAACAGGAUUAGAUACCCCUGUCGUC
rnacentral:rRNA from 1 species